rnacentral:lncRNA from 1 species
UGAAGCCAAAAACGCAUCUUUCUCUGUGUCAGCUAUACUAGUCAGAGCUACUUCAGCCGGCAACAUUGCCGAGUCACCGUCGUCGAAUUCUGAAUAAUGUUUACAAGGCGUUGAAGGCACCUCCCUGGCACUACUACUGCGGCAUAUAGUGCUUAUGAAAAAAAAAACGCCUAUAUUGGUUUCGUUAUCGCGCAUGGUUUGAUGCUACAUAAUCCUUGCCAUUGUACAACACACUCGGACGAAACCUUGAAAAAAAGUUACCCAAAAAUUACAGUAGCUUUUGGACGCCUGCAUGACAUGGCAUUGACAUGUGCACGAUCUAUUCGUUUAAUACGCUGGAUCAUGUCACUAUAAUCAGGUUUGCCACGGUAAACUUCUUUCAGGGUGCUGUGCAGCAUGGAGGACAUUCGAUCAAGGUAACGUAUAAAAUGCAGCCUACAUUUAAGAUAGGGGUAAACAAUGUAGUUUUUGCCAUACAAUGGUUGAUCGUAACAUCAACCUCUAUCUGUAAGUGAAACAUUGACACCUGUA